GAUGAAGAACGCAGCGAAAUGCGAUAAGUAAUGUGAAUUGCAGAAUUCAGUGAAUCAUCGAAUCUUUGAACGCACCUUGCGCCCUUUGGCCAUUCCGAAGGGCAUGCCUGUUUGAGUAUCAUGAACACCUCAACUCUUUAUGGUUUUCCAUGAUGAGCUUGGACUCUGGGGGUUUUGCUGGCUCACAGUCGGCUCCUCUAAAAUGAAUCAGCUUACCAGUGUUUGGUGGGUAUCAUGGGUGUGAUAACUAUCUACGCUUGUGGUUUUCCACCAGGUAACCUUCAGCAGUGGAGGUUCGCUGGAGCUCAUAGAUGUCUCUCCUCAGUGAGGACAGCCCUUUGAAUGUUUGAUCUCAAAUCAGGUAGGACUACCCGCUGAACUUAAGCAUAUCAAUAAGCGGAGGA
rnacentral:misc_RNA from 1 species